rnacentral:rRNA from 1 species
UACGUAGGGUGCAAGCGUUGUCCGGAAUUAUUGGGCGUAAAGAGCUCGUAGGCGGUCUGUCGCGUCGGCUGUGAAAACCCGGAGCUCAACUCCGGGCCUGCAGUCGAUACGGGCAAACUGGAGUGUUGCAGGGGAGACUGGAAUUCCUGGUGUAGCGGUGAAAUGCGCAGAUAUCAGGAGGAACACCGGUGGCGAAGGCGGGUCUCUGGGCAGUAACUGACGCUGAGGAACGAAAGCGUGGGUAGCAAACAGG